UCCUUGAUAGUCUAGUGGUCAGGAUAUCUGCUUGUCACCGAAAUAAGUCGGUAGCAUACGCAGGGGACCUGGGUUCAAUUCCCAGUCAGGGAG
rnacentral:tRNA from 1 species